rnacentral:rRNA from 1 species
AAUCAACGCUGGCGGCGUGCCUCAGACAUGCAAGUCGAACGCGAAAGAAGCCUUCGGGCUUCAAGUAGAGUGGCGUCCGGGUGAGUAACACGUGGGUAAUCUACCUUCGGGUGGGGAAUAACCCAGGGAAACUUGGGCUAAUACCGCAUAAUGCAGCGGCACCACAUGGUGACAGUUGUUAAAGCGGGGGAUUUUCGGACCUCGCGCCUGAAGAGGAGCCUGCGGCAGAUUAGCUAGUUGGUAAGGUAACGGCUUACCAAGGCGACGAUCUGUAGCCGGCCUGAGAGGGCGGUCGGCCACACUGACACUGACAUACGGGUCAGACUCCUACGGGAGGCAGCAGUCGGGAAUUUUGGGCAAUGGGCGAAAGCCUGAUCCAGCCAUGCCGCGUGUGUGAAGAAGGUCUUCGGAUUGUAAAGCACUUUAAGUUGGGAGGAAGGGCAGUAAGUUAAUACCUUGCUGUUUUGACGUUACCGACAGAAUAAGCACCGGCUAACUCUGUGCCAGCCGCCGCGGUAAAAC